UACAGAGGGUGCAAGCGUUGUUCGGAAUUAUUGGGCGUAAAGGGCGCGUAGGCGGUUCGGCAAGUCUCUAGUGAAAUCUCUGGGCUCAACUCAGAGUCUGCUGGGGGAAACUGCCGGGCUUGAGUGUGGGAGAGGAGAGUGGAAUUCCCGGUGUAGCGGUGAAAUGCGUAGAUAUCGGGGAGGAACACCUGUGGCGAAAAGCGGCUCUCUGGACCACAACUGACGCUGAGG
rnacentral:rRNA from 1 species